CAGAUUGAACGCUGGCGGCAGGCCUAACACAUGCAAGUCGAGCGGUAACAGAGAGUAGCUUGCUACUUUGCUGACGAGCGGCGGACGGGUGAGUAAUGCUUGGGAACUUGCCUUUAGGAGGGGAAUAACCACGGGAAACUGUGGCUAAUACCGCAUAAUGUCUACGGACCAAAGCAGGGGAUCUUCGGACCUUGCACCUAGAGAUAGGCCCAAGUGAGAUUAGCUAGUUGGUGGGGUAAAGGCUCACCAAGGCGACGAUCUCUAGCUGUUCUGAGAGGAUGAUCAGCCACACUGGGACUGAGACACGGCCCAGACUCCUACGGGAGGCAGCAGUGGGGAAUAUUGCACAAUGGGGGAAACCCUGAUGCAGCCAUGCCGCGUGUGUGAAGAAGGCCUUCGGGUUGUAAAGCACUUUCAGUGGUGAGGAAGGGCGUAAGAUUAAUACUCUUGCGCAUUGACGUUAGCCACAGAAGAAGCACCGGCU
rnacentral:rRNA from 1 species